CUAGGCAGGGUUGCCCCAACGUCAAAUGCAUGUGGUUACUUUCUCAACCUUCACAAAGCCACAGGAAAUCCAGUCCUGGUAUGCAUGGUAGCUGGAAGUUUUGCAUACGAAAUCGAGAAGCUAUCAGAUGAAGAAUCUGUGAACUUUGUUAUGUCCCAGCUCAGGAAAAUGCUACCACAGGCAACUGAACCGGUAAAGCAGCAGCGAAGACACUGAAACUUGUUAACUUUGUCUCUGCAAUCUGCACAAUGUUUGCAAAUCCUAACACAUGUGCCUCUCUUUCCCAGGUUCAGUAUCUGGUUUCACGGUGGGGCAGUGACCCAAACUCACUCGGUUCCUACUCGUGCGAUCUAGUUGGGAAACCAGCUGACUUGUAUGAAAGAUUCUGCGCUCCCGUGGGCAACCUGUUUUUCGCUGGGGAGGCCGCCUGCAUCGAUCACUCUGGGUCAGUGCAUGGAGCUUAUUCUUCAGGCAUUGCCGCCGCAGAAGACUGCCGAAGGCGUCUCUCGACGCAGCUAGGCAUCUCUGACCUGUUCCAGGUCGGGAAGAUUGUUGUGAGGGAGGAGAUGAAUGAAGUCAUGGUUCCCUUCCAGAUAUCCAGGCUGUGAGGAAAGGAAGUUGUCUAUUUGAACACCGUGUUAUCCUGAAGCAGCAGAGAAGGUUAACACUUAACAAUGUUAGCUGCUUCGCAGUAUGUAUUGCGCCUUCAAAACUGUUGUACUAUCGCAGUUUGAUGUUUGAUGUAACUUCAAUAAUAUAGACCUUGUUGGAAUUUAUGGAUGUUACCGUACUCUUCUGUUAUAUUCAGUUGCCAAUGCUUGAUUCGGGAAGCUGGUGGUCAGCUGUUCAACC
rnacentral:lncRNA from 1 species